AAAGAAAGGAAAAGCCCUAAGCUAUUCUUCAGCGGAAAACUCUCCAUCUCCCCCAAAGGUAAUCUAUCUAUUUCGUUGCUUCUAUCUCCCUUCCUCCUACAGAUUCCGAAUCUCUGUUUUCAUUCUUCCACUCUUACUCUCUCCCCGUAUCAUCCGCAAUUCAACCACCUAUUAGAUCUGCGCUUCCUCACUCCUCGCAUCUCUAUCUUUAGGAUCACCAAUUUCUUUGAAUCAGCUGACUAUCUUUCUUUCGAGGCAGACCCAAGUUUUGUUGAAGUUUCACUUGUUGGGUUGUACAUCAGUUGUUCAAAUACUGGAAUCUCUCCUACCAAUUUAACCCAUUUCCAUCUCAAGUGAUUUUGGUUGGUUAUAUCUGGAAUAUGUUUGCCUACAAGGGGGUUUAUGCUUCUUUUAUUUUUAUCAUCAAUUUUGUCUUCUUUGUCCAUUUUGCCUACAUGGGGGUUUAUGCUUCUUUUAUUUUUAUCAUCAAUUUUGUCUUCUUUGUCCAUUUUAUGGGAUGAAUUGACAAGUUUUGGCCUGGAUAUCAGAUUGUGUUUAGUUGCUCUUCGACUUAAUACCGUUAUGCCCUAAAGUUCUCUGCUGGAGUUUCAUGUAGGGUUCAUUGUCUCGACGCGUGGAACGUCUGGACUCUUGUGCUUAAAGUUUAAACAUAAGAACUUCUAAUAUGUUAGGAUGGGCAUGCGGGAUUUAAGAUUUGGAUGCUGGUUUUAUGAUAUUUUCGCCAUGGAACCGUGCUGCAUGGCUGAUUUCUUUAGUUUUUGCUUGCAGAUUAAUUGGUUAUUAUGACACGUCUGUCGUCUGCUAUCUUGCAUAUUAAAUCUUUUUGAAGAUUACUAAUGUGUUAGUAUCCGUACGGUGCAGAAUUAGAGUUUGGUGUUGGAUUAGACUGAUAAAAGACCAAGAAAUUGUGUUGAGCCUCUUAGGUUUUGGAAUAAUGACCAUUGCAGAAAGUGAAGAGGUUGGUUUUAAGCGCAUUGGGCUGUCAGCUAGUGAUUAUGAGGCAAAUAUUCCUAUCAAGAAAAGGAGAUUUCCGGGAGUGCAAUUAACUCCAUCACCAUCUAAAGAUAUAUCUUCAUUCCAUUCAGAUGGAAAUUUAUUGAAGGUGGAGCAGCCAUCUCCACCUAAAGAUGUAUCUUCCUUUAAUCACAAUGAAAAUUUAAUAAAGAGUGAGGAGCCGAUUCUAUCUGUGACAACAGUUUCAAGUUCUAGUGUGGUUACAAGUUGUGCAUUGUCGAACAAUAACCAGGACAGUGUUUCUGAAGAGAAGAAAGGAAAAUCUGAUACGGAUUCAUGCUGCGUGGAUAUAGUCCAAAGCAAUAUUGGAGCAGCAGGAGUCAAGUUUCAAGAACCCAGUUUGGGAAGACAUGCUUGUACUGAUGGUUUUGUUGAAUGUGAAGGUAAGUCAUUGGUAACUGUAGAACAUACCGAUCAUGCAUCACCAGUGAUCUGUGCGGGGUUGAAGUUGUUGUCAACUAGCCUUGACUCUGAUCAUUUUGCUGGUAACAAAGAGGAAGAAAUUGAUGUAAAAAUGCCUGAAGAAAAUUGCAGCCCUCCAAUUUGUCAACUUGGAGGAGCUGGAGUAUUGGUAGGUUUGAAGGGACAUAUGGAUCUGAAACUAGUUUCUGAAAAGAGUGAUUUGAAUUUCCUGAAGCAGAAUUCUAUGGAACCUGUGUUACUAAACUUCGCUUUAAACAAGCAGGGAAGUAGCACCCAAUGUGUCAAAGGUAACGUAGGGUUUGAUUGUGAUGGUUCUUUUUUGCAGUCGAACAGGGAAAAAUGGGAUCUAAAUACUUCAAUGGAAUCAUGGGAGGGUUGUACUAGUGGUGAUGCUCCUGUAGUGCAGAUAUCGGCCACUCGGACAAAUACAACUAUUGAAACUUAUUCUUGCUCAUCUGAAAUGGUUGAAAGUGACAGUCCAUGUGGAAAACAAACCCUUUUAGAUAAUGAAGAUAAAGGUGACUCUACAAAAGAGCAUCUUCAUUUAAGUCUUGAUUCAUCUUAUCUGAAGUCUGUGCUUGAUGAAGACCCUUACAUUUCUGAAUAUGAAUCAGAUGGCAACUGGGAUAUAGCUGAGACUGUUGAUGAUAAUGAUGAUAAUGAUGAUAAUGAUAAUGAUGAUAAUGAUAAUAAUGUAGAAGAAGACUAUGAAGAUGGGGAGGUCCGGGAAACAAUGCAGGAAACUGAAGUAGAGGUCCAUGUAUAUGAGAAAAGAGAAAUUGAGCCUUUGGAUCAUGCUGGUUGUAACGACAAAAAGAUCAAUUCUGUUGGAUUGCUGGAUCAUGAAUUUUUUACUUUAGGCCCUAAGAAACAGGAAACAAAAUUAGAAAAUCUGGAUUAUAGAAGUGAAGAUGAAGAUGAAGUUCAGACCACAACUAAAAGUAAUUCUUAUGAGCAAGAAAAUGAAGAUCUUUGUGUGAAAGAAUUGCAUGCUGUAGAGAAUGCUAUUGGUGAGGAUGUAAACAUAUCUGCGAAGGCCACAGAAAGAAGCCAAUUAUCUCAAUAUGAUAAAAAGGGCAACUUUGAGGGACAGGGCACUGCUGACAAAAUCCUAAAUGAGGAACCGGUUCCUACAUUUUCUCAGAAUGAGGUGGAGAAUGCUGUAGCAGUAGAUGUAGUGCAGAAUAGGGAUCUAACUUUGCCUACUGUAAAGGAAUCUGUAAACGAAGAUAAUGCAAAGGAUAUCAAUGGAGGCACUAGAAAUAGUCGGAUAAUUAAUUUUAAUCGAACAUCUACUGAUUCAACUCCUUGUAAGGCAAAAUCUAAUUUUGCUAAGCCGGUUUUAUCACAUAAGGAUAGAGAGUUUGUACCCAACAUGGUAGUUGAACGAGCAAAUAUGAAACCUCAAGAAAGAGAUGACGUGUACAGUAAUAUUUCCAAGAAAAUUUCUAUAGACAAACGCCAGGGUCCACCACCGUUGAUGGGUUUUAGUCAUAGACGAGGGAGAAAUACUAAUAGGUUGGACAACCGAUCCGAGGAAUGGGAUUUUGGUCCCAACUUUUCUCCUGAAACAUACAGUGAACAACAGAUAGAUUACCAUGUUACUGGUCUUGAUCAAAACCGAUAUAAGAUUAUACCUGAUGGUCCAUUUGGUGGCGCUAACCGUCGUGGUCGAGAAUUGGUAGAGGAUGAGGAACCUUUUUUUUUCCAUGGGCCCUCAAGGAGGAAGUCACCUGGAAGAAGACAUGGGCACAGUGUACGAGGUGGAAAAAUGGUAAACAGAAUGCCUAGAGAUUUUAGUCCAGGUAGAUGCAUGGAUGAAGGUGGCUCUUUUGAUAGACAACAUGGUGAAAAGUUCACUAGGAAUUUUGCUGAUGACACAGUGGAUGAGAUGUAUCCACGACCUCAACCUCCAUAUGAUGUAGACAGACCUUUUUUUCGAGAAAGAAGGAACUUCUCAUUCCAAAGAAAAACUUUUCCCAAAAUUGAUUCUAAAUCUCCAGUAAGAUCCCGAGCUCGUUCUCCCAGCCAAUGGUUCUCUUCAAAAAGAUCUGAUAGGUUUUGUGAACGUCCCAACAUGACACAUCGAAGAUCUCCAAAUUAUAUGACAGACAGGAUGAGAUCUCCUGAUCAGCGUUCUAUACGUGGAUAUAUGCCAGGCCAAAGACAAGGAUUCCGUUACCUUUCACCACCUGAUGAAUUGAGAGAUGUGGGUCCUGCACCUGACCAUGGCCAUAUGAGGCCUUUUAUCCCUAACAGGAAUCAAACUAAAAGAUUACCACUUAGAAACAGAAGCUACGAUGCUAUAGAUCCUCGAGGAAGGAUCGAGAAUGAUGGACUUUUUUAUGGUCCUGUACGUUUGGGUCAAUUGACUGGGUACAAUGGUGGCGAACCAGAUGACGAUGAAAGAAGAUUUAAUGAGAGACAUGAACCUCUUCAUUCUUUUAAGCAUGGAUUUCGUGAUUCUGAUGGUGAGAGAUACCGAAACAAGGGGGAGGAUUGUUCUAGGCCAUUUAGGUUUUGUGCAGAGGAUGACCCAAGAAUUUCAUGGAAGAGAAGGUAGUCAGGGAGAAAGACUGAGUUAAGGAUCUCUACCAAGGGAGUGGAGAAUGCUUUAGACUAGGCCAUUCUGUUAGUUUAAUUUUGAGGUUUUGUAGGUGAUAUUUUAUGGUGCAAAGGGGGCCACUUUUUGUUCUCCUUUGUUUUAUUUCAUAAUUGCAACUGUAAAAAAAUUCCAUUUCUAUGCAGAAAGUAUACCUCUCAAGUGCUAUUGUGACUUCAAACUGACUAAACCACUAUGGAAAUUUUGUUCUCUAAAACGUUAGAAUCUUACUUAUUAUUCUGAUAGAGAAAUUCAGUUGAGAAGGGAAGUAGAUCAAGUGGGGUUGUUUCCCUUUCUAAUCUCCACAAAUGGUUUGCAAUUCUUUUAACAAGUGUUAUUAAUUUGUUCUUUUAAUACCAAUGUAUUCACUGAUUUACUAUUGAAUUUGAUAGCCAUUUCUAGAUCGUUGAAGCGCAAGGGGAGGAUAUCUCUAAGGUAUUCUUUUCUUGGACCAAGUUACAUUCUACUCUUCUAUGCCUUCUGUUACUGUUCUACUUCAGUACUGAAGUUGGACCUUGGUCAGUUGGUCCUCGAAAUCGUUGCCCGCUAACCCAGUUCUGAAUCGGCAGUAGGAGAUUUUGGAUCUGCUCUUGUCACGAAGGUUAGAGGCUUUGGCUUCUGAGGCUUUGAAUUGGAAGGAAAUGUGAGAGAGUUGGGGAAUUGCAGUGAGGAGAUGGAAUGGCCCCCAUGGAAGGUGACACAUGAGCUUGAGGAUAAACUCACCCCUCUGUGCUUGCUAUCACCGUUUGGACCUUAUAUUGCUGCUUUUUCUUUUUGUAUUUUUUUUACAUUCUUUAAGUUAAUGGGUUUCUUUCUUUCUCUUUUUUUUAUUUGAAUAAAAUAAAUUAAUGAUUUCUAUUUGUUUUGUUAUAUUUUUGUAUAUAUAUGUGCGUAUAUUACAUAGGUCCUUAUAAUUUUGAAAAUUGAUUGUUUUUGUUUAACCUUUUUUAAUCUCAUUUUUUAAUACCAUUGCAGGCCAUGUUUACCAAUCCAUAAUGGAUGUAUAUAUAUCGAUAAAAUCAACAACUUUCACUGGGAAAAAAAUGAAAGAAUACAGGGUAUACGAAAACACAAGCCCACCCAAGCGACCUCCUAAAGAAAGGGUUCCAUCUAAGCAAAAUAUUAUCUAGUGAGUAGUUAUACAAAGGUUUUGAGUUCAAGCCCAAAGUGAAACCCGAAGCCUCACUAAUAACCAAACCUACUAGGGUGGUUAUCCAAACCUCUAAAAAUCCUAUUGCUUCUCUCCCCCCAAAUGUCCCACAACACAGCACAUCUCGGAAAACACAACAAACAGCCUCUCUCUGGAAAGCAAAUGGAGGACGAACUCCCUGAUCAUUGCCCGAAUACCCCUCUGGUGAUAAUUAGAACGCCAAACUUUUGCAUGAAACAAAUCCACACAGACAUUGCACAUUGACAUCCCCAAAGAAGGUGAUCUAGGUUUUCCUCUACCUCCUGACAGAGAAUACAACAGAAAGGACCUAUUAAUGGGGCCAUUUUCCAGUAAGCCUAUCAAAAAUGUUCAUAUGACCAAGUAGAACCAGCCAGGUGAUGAACCCAACUUUCUUUGGGUAUCUUAAUCCUCCUGACUGCAUCAAAGACUGAGUCACAAACAGGAAAGGGAACCAACAGCAACAUAAAGAAAGAAUAUUAGUGUCAUCGGUAAUUGGAGUUCAUUGAUAGAUCAAUUGUAACGAGUCACAACCACAAAUGUAUGUGGAUGCUUUUGAUUAUGUUUACCUAGAAUUAUGAAUAUGUCACAUUUACUAUUGUCUUGCAGAACUGAGACAUUGACUCAAUCUAGUGUUGCCAAGGUUCGUCGAUCUUCAUGCUCCUUCCAACACAGUUAAGCUCUGUUCCAGAUCUAAGAGUUGUUCUCCUCACAAUCAUUUCUCUCAAAUCUGUUCAUGAACUCCGUGAAUGGGAAGAUCUCUAGUCAUGGCACAAGUAGUUCUGCAUUGUCAAACAAAAACCAAGACAGUGUUUCUGACGAGAAGAAAGGAAAGUCUGAUACUGAUUCAUCAUCUGUCCAGAGCUUGGAACAGCAGGAGUCAAGUUUCAAGAACUCAGUUUGGGAGGAUAUGCUUGUAUCAAGUCUUGCUUCAUCUUAUUGGAAGCCUAUGCUUGAAUAAGACCCUUAUAUUUCUUUGAGGCUGUUGAUUGUAAUGAUAACAAUGUAGAAGAAAACUAUCCAUGAAGAUAGGGAGGUUCAGGAAACAAUGCAGGAAACUGAAAUAGAGGUCCAUGUAUAUGAGAAAAGAAAAAUUGAGCCUUGA